GCUUACUGGGACACUUGAUGGAACUGAGCCAUCGUUAAGUUUUUUGGAACCUGACUCCAGCCGCCACUCGCUCCUGCCAUCCACCAUUCUGCCCGCUACUACUGGACCUCACUACCGACUGAACGCUCACACCUGGAUACACGGACACUCCUGAUUGGAACCCUUGGACCUGUACCCAUCUGAAAACCUGGACUUGCUUCCCCUUUCUGAAACAUGGACAAUUAAGUACUGCAAUAAAUUUGUUUAACUGUUA